AGCUGGUUCGCGGAGGGCUAGCUUAGCGUUCUGGGAUGCGGGAUGCGCAGUCUUUGCGGGACGAGCAGUGCAGACGGGGGAGCAACGACUGGAGGGAAUCUGUGCUUUCCAUCGGGGGCAGGGCAUAUAAAGAAGCAAGCAGUGAACGCAUCAGUUUUUUAUCCAAGAGAAAUGGGAAAUAUGCUCAUCAUCGUGUUACAUAAACCAACCACACAUUAUAUACCAGCUGGGAUUUAGAGUGCUGCUUUCUUUGAAGUGGAACAACAUCUUGAAUACACCUGUAAAACAAUAGAGAGGAAAAGGGAGGAAGAAAGAGACGGAGAUAAAUAUUG